AGCCAGAUGCUCAGCCUACUGAGCCACCCAGGGCAAUGUGGAUCCUUGGGGACCUCCAUUAACUGGAAGAUUCUGCAUGCCCUUCCCUAGAGCCCCCCCCCUCCGCUGUGGGCUACUGGGCACAUCCACCUCCUGAACCUUGAUGGCCCUGGGGACCACACCGAACCCCUCCACUUGGGCCUUCUGCAGAUCCACAUGUAGCUCCUGUGGGUGACAGCAACACUGAGUUCACCAAAAGAGCCAAGAAGGCCAUUAUGUAUACAGGAUGACCUUGUGUUUUCCCAGGAUCGCCUUGCAGGCCCUGCCCCAUGGACCCCUCCUCCCUUCAUCACCAGUCAUGGGCUAUGGGCCGCCUCUCCCUCCUCGACCAGCUCCCACACCUACUCCAUUUGGAGAACUUGAAGUUUGAAGAGGACCCUGAACUGUGACAAAUAGGCUGUGGUGAUCAGAAAAGUUGUCUGAUGUUAUAUUUGACUAAAUUCUUUCCCUGACCAUUCCUGUCCCCUCUAUUUUGUCUUUCUUCAUUUCCCCUAAUAAACUCACCACGGUUCUGUCUCUA